GGGGGCGACUUGGUUUCGACGCGGGUAUCAAAGUUUGCGGUGCAUGCCGAGAGGGUAGUGACUCUCGUAAAACAAUCGCUGUAACUUUUAUAGUUGCCAACGACGAAAACUACGCACUAGCGGCCUAAAUCCCGCUUACGUCCAUGAUUCGUUUCUUGCUAGGAGAAAUGGACGGCAAAACAGCAAGAUCGCGCGGAUGUCUCGCCCGGGGCUGAACCGUUAAAACCAAUCGGGAUCGCUGAUCGCACCCUGACCGUCGGGUCGCAGGAAGCUAAAUCAAUAGACGGACCCUAAGCAUGUAGAGCCAAUAAUGGCGAACCAGCGGACGCGGGUUCAACUCCCGCCGCCUCCACCA
rnacentral:tmRNA from 1 species